GGAGCCCCCGGCGGCCGCGGCCGAGGCGCGGCCCGCCCAGCCGCCGCCGCGCCGCCGCCUCUGCCCGCCGGCGCCCACCGCGGCCGCCGGCCGCCCCUCGCCGCGCCGCCUGCUGAAGCCGCUCCUGUUCGCCGUGGGGUUCACAGGCUCGGCCUUCGGCUCCGCCGCCAUCUGGCAGUACGAGUCGCUCAAGUCGCGCGUCCAGACCUACUUUGAGGAAGCUCGGGCGGACUGGAUGGAUAAAAUGCGGCCGCAGAAGAGAGGCGACUUCAGAAAGCAGGGGUUUUAAACUUGGAGGAGGGCUGGGUGAACUGGACGCAAGGGGGAAUGGAUUCCACAUCUUGUGAGCCACCUCUGCAAAAGUGAUCCUGGCAAAAAGUGGAAUCACUCAAAGGUUAACAGCUGGUGGAAUAACCUGACUGAGGGUCAGCGGACUGUGACAGGUUUGUGUUAGCUUACAAGUAUUAGACAUUCACAGGAAGAGAAAUAUGGCAAACAGGUAUUAUAGCUGCAAAUGUCUUUGUAUUCUGUUUGUGGAGAUUGCCUGGCAUGCGACGGAUUAUGUUUACAUAUUUCACCUCAAAUCCAUCCUCCAGAGCCCUGUGUUCUCCCAUGCUGCUCUCUACGUUUAGUCACUUCUCUCUCUUCCACAUGGCAGCAAAUAUGUAUGUUCUAUGGAGCUUUUCCAGCAGCAUUGUCUCUCUUCUGGGCUGUGAGCAGUUCAUUGCAGUAUAUCUUUCUGCUGGGGUUAUCUCCACUUUUGUCAGUUAUGUUGCUAAAAUGGCCACGGGAAGGUUUGAACCGUCCCUUGGAGCUUCAGGAGCUAUAAUGACUGUCCUUGCAGCCGUGUGUACGAAGAUGCCAGAGGCAAAACUGGCCAUCAUCCUUCUUCCGAUGUUCACAUUUACAGCAGGAAGUGCUUUAAAAGCCAUAAUUGCAUUUGACACUGCAGGGCUUGCUUUAGGCUGGAGACUUUUUGACCAUGCUGCACACCUUGGGGGAGCUCUCUUUGGAAUGUGGUAUGUGACUUAUGGCCACGAGCUCAUAUGGAAGAACAGAGAACCACUGGUGAAAGCUUGGCAUGAAAUGAGGACAAAGAACACAGGAAAGGGAGGAGGUGGAAGAUCUAACUGAUUCUAAUCCUAGAUUACAUGUGCCCAAGUGGUAUCUUACUUGAAGACAUGGGAUUGGAUUGGUUUUGAAGGUUUUUUUGCUACUCCACAUUAAGCCUCUAAGGAGCUGAAGUUUCUAAAGUAACAAAAUUAUGUUACAAAAAUUCAUAUCCAUAGAAAAUGAACUCUGACAAAGGUGGAACAAUAAAGGUUUUUAUUCUAUUGCUUUCUGAGAUAACAGUCUGCAUUACCUUUUUAAAGGUGGAAUAAAACAUGUUUUUUCAAUUAAGUUACCUAAAUCUUUGUCAAAAAAAAUUUAAAAUUGGGUGCAACUGGUUAAUACUUAAGAAGAUAAAAAUUUUUAGAACUGAGGAAGUUAAUGGAUCACACACACCCCCAGUGUCUGCCAGACAAAUACAAGGCGCGUGCUUUCCUAGAAGGGAAAUGGAACUCAAAUAAGGCUAAUAUGGUGAAGUGGUUUUUAUUGUUGAAAUUAUUGGAUAAAGUGAGGCAAUGGUCUUGUUUGAUUUGAAACUUGAAAUACGUGAAGCAAUACUGGAUUGUUUGCAAAGGCUUAUGUACUGGUUUAAUGGUCCAGCUUGUCACUUGUGCUUAUUCGGCUUAUUUCUGUUGAAUUCCAACAAGCUUUUAGAUGUUGUUAGAUUUUCCUACAAUGACAAACCAGAACUCCAACAAUAUCCUUUUUAUAAUUACAUGCAGGGGAAGAAUGACAUACUGUGUUUUUUUAUAUUCUACCGAGAGUUACACUGCUUUCUGUAUUCUUUCACUGCAUUGAUUUGCAGGUGGGGUAGAGGGGUAUUCAUUAAGCUGUACUGUAUUGUUACUUUUCUUUAAGGUUUUUCUAAGAAUUUUAAACCUGUAACAUCUGGCUCAGAGUCUGCCAGUUGUAGAAAAUAAGCAAAAACAGAUGAGGUGACCGAGAUGAGCAAUGCUGUAAACAGAAGUAACUACUAAAGUAAACCUGAGCGUAGUA